rnacentral:tRNA from 1 species
ACCGAAAUAGCUCCGUUGAGAGCGUUAGACUAUAGAUCGAAAGGUCCCUGGUUCGAUCCCGGGAUUCGGCA